CCCAGAGCUCGCCGCCUGGCUUCCAGCCCCACGCUAAGCCACAGGCAGCUCUAAGCAACACUAGGUGCACAACCCUCCCUUCCCCUUUUUUCCUUUUCCUCGUGUGUUUUUAUGAACAUCCAAAGGGAAGAUAAUUAAAACCUGCAAGAACACCGGCUGGCAGCGAAAAAGAAAAUCUUGGUGACUCGGGGACGACGCCACAUGUUUAUGGGUCUUGCUAACACUGCUGUUUGAACGUGGAGCAAUGUUAAUAUCAGGUAGCUGACAAACAUUAUUACCCAAAGUUAGAACUACCCUAGAGGAGAACUCCGUCUGCCAAGUGCUAACAGCUAGCAGAUGCACUUGUGUCUCGGGAUUCCAGCCCUGGAGUUCCGCUAGGCACCGCGCUGGUUCCCUCUGCUCUCCCUCACGGUACUACCCGGAGCUCCGAGCUCAGCCUCUGCUCUGAAGAAAACUGGACCCAGGCCAGGAUCCCCCGGUGCACUGAAUCCAUGUGACUCCUUAGCCUCUUCUGGUCAGUGACGGUGUUCCACCCUUUGUUUCUCAUGACCUUGACACUUUUGAAGAGUACUGGUCAGGAAUUUUGUGGAAUGUCCCUCAGUCUGGUUUUUACCUGGUGUUUUCUCAUGAUUAGACUAAAGUUACAGGUUUUGGGUAAUAAUACUGUAGAGGUGAAGUAUCUUUCCCAUCACAUUGUCAGGGGUACCCUCUAUGAACAUGACAUGCUGGUGACGUCAACCUUGAUCGCUUGGUUAAGGUGGUGUCUGCCAGGUUUGCUCACUGUCGAGUUAUUUUUCCUUUUCUAUACCCUAUUCGUUAGAAGUGAGUCAGUAAGUCCAGUGGAAUUAAGCUCCACUUCCUGGAGGGGGGUGUAUCAAAGCACGUUUGGACAGAUGUUAAAACCAUCAUAAUAAUUAAUACAUUUUUGGAGACAGACACUUUGGGGCUAUGCAAAUAUCCCAGUUCUCAAAGUUCUGCCCUCCAAUUUAAUAUUCAUCAGUAGCUCUUGCCUGUAGCAAUUAUUAUUGUACUGUUUUAAGUGGUGAUUUUCUGUUUUCCUCAUGCCUUCUACAUUAUCUACGAAUCAGAAUUCACCGGGAUGGAAGAUUUGUUUCUCCUCCCACCUUUAUUAAUUCAAUCAUUUAUGUAUUCUUCCCCACUUCUUAAAAUCUUUUGAUGGCUCAAGGAAGAAGUCCAAGCUCCUUAAUAUGACACUUGCAAGGCUGUUUGCAAUCUGGUCUCUUCCUGCCCUUCCAGCCUCCUCCCCCCUCUCUUCUGGCCACAUCCCCCACUCUCCAGACAUCCUGACAUACAAGAAAUUAUCCUCAAAUGUCAUGUGUCCUUGUGCUCUGGGCCUUCCUGCCUCAUGCUAUUCCCUUUCUCUAGAAUGUCAUUUUCCAUCUUCACUGGGUUAGCUCCAUCAUUCUUUGCCUCUUUGAAAACUCUGCUUGCAUUGUUUAUAAGCACCAAAUACUGGAAACCACCUACAUGUUCAGCAGUAAAGACUAAACGAAUAAUGUUGCUAUGAACAUGAGUGUGCAAGCUGGGAUACUCUACAGCAGUAAAAUGAAUAAACAAAAGAAAAAAAUGAGCUUGCUUCCUGUGUAAUGAUACGAAACAUCUCCAAGAUCUAUUAUUAAGCAAGAAAAGUAGGAUGCACAACGAUGUGAUUGCCAUCCACUAUUUGUACAUGUAUGUUUACGAUUGCUCCUAUCCUAUCAACUAUCUAUGGAAGAACACACUAGAGACUAGCAAAAAUUGGCUGCCUGCAGGGAGUGGAAGUCAGCAGCUUCAGGGCAGAAAUGGCAGGGCAACUGAUUACUUUGUAGUCACUUAGUCACCUGUGAACACUGAGCACUUGAAAUGGGGCUGUUCCAAAUUGUGAUGCGUUAUAUGUAAGGUACACUUUGUACCCGUUCAAAGACUUGGUACAAAAAAAAGGAAUGUAAAGCAUCUCGUUAAUAGUUUUUAUGCUGAUUAGAUGAUGAAAUGAUAAUUUUAUAUAUAUUGGGUUAAAUAAA